rnacentral:rRNA from 1 species
UACGAAGGGGGCUAGCGUUGUUCGGAAUUACUGGGCGUAAAGGGCGCGUAGGCGGCGUGUCAAGUCAGGCGUGAAAGCCCCGGGCUCAACCCGGGAAGUGCAUUCGAUACUGCGUAGCUAGAGUACUGGAGAGGAUGGUGGAACUCUCGGUGUAGAGGUGAAAUUCGUAGAUAUCGAGAAGAACACCGGUGGCGAAGGCGGCCAUCUGGACAGAUACUGACGCUGAGACGCGAAAGCGUGGGGAGCAAACAGG